rnacentral:rRNA from 1 species
CAGCCGCCGCGGGAAUACGGAGGGCGCGAGCGUUACCCGGAUUUACUGGGCGUAAAGGGCGUGUAGGCGGCCUGGGGCGUCCCAUGUGAAAGGCCACGGCUCAACCGUGGAGGAGCGUGGGAUACGCUCAGGCUAGAGGGUGGGAGAGGGUGGUGGAAUUCCCGGAGUAGCGGUGAAAUGCGCAGAUACCGGGAGGAACGCCGAUGGCGAAGGCAGCCACCUGGUCCACUUCUGACGCUGAGGCGCGAAAGCGUGGGGAGCAAACCGGAUUAGAUACCCCCGUAGUUCCUGUCUCUUAUAA